GAUGAACGCUGGCUACAGGCUUAACACAUGCAAGUCGAGGGGAAACGACGGGGAAGCUUGCUUCCCCGGGCGUCGACCGGCGCACGGGUGAGUAACGCGUAUCCAACCUGCCUCUGACUGAGGGAUAACCCGUCGAAAGUCGGCCUAAUACCUCAUGGCAUCGUCUGCGGGCAUCCAACGACGAUUAAAGAUUUCAUCGGUCAGGGAUGGGGAUGCGUCUGAUUAGCUAGUUGGCGGGGUAACGGCCCACCAAGGCUACGAUCAGUAGGGGUUCUGAGAGGAAGGUCCCCCACAUUGGAACUGAGACACGGUCCAAACUCCUACGGGAGGCAGCAGUGAGGAAUAUUGGUCAAUGGGCGAGAGCCUGAACCAGCCAAGUAGCGUGCAGGAUGACGGCCCUAUGGGUUGUAAACUGCUUUUAUGCGGGGAUAAAGUGAAGGACGUGUCCUUCAUUGCAGGUACCGCAUGAAUAAGGACCGGCUAAUUCCGUGCCAGCAGCCGCGGUAAUACGGAAGGUCCGGGCGUUAUCCGGAUUUAUUGGGUUUAAAGGGAGCGUAGGCCGUGGAUUAAGCGUGUUGUGAAAUGCAGGUGCUCAACGUCUGCACUGCAGCGCGAACUGGUCCACUUGAGUGUGCACAACGCAGGCGGAAUUCGUCGUGUAGCGGUGAAAUGCUUAGAUAUGACGAAGAACUCCGAUUGCGAAGGCAGCUUGCGGGAGCACAACUGACGCUGAAGCUCGAAAGUGCGGGCAUCGAACAGG
rnacentral:rRNA from 1 species